GAUGAACGCUGGCGGCGUGCCUAACACAUGCAAGUCGAGCGAACAGACGAGGAGCUUGCUCCUCUGACGUUAGCGGCGGACGGGUGAGUAACAUGUGGAUAACCUACCUAUAAGACUGGGAUAACUUCGGGAAACCGGAGCUAAUACCAGAUAAUAUAUUGAACCGCAUGGUUCAAUAGUGAAAGACGGCUUUGCUGUCACUUAUAGCUGGAUCCGCGCCGCAUUAGCUAGUUGGUAAGGUAACGGCUUACCAAGGCAACGAUGCGUAGCCGACCUGAGAGGGUGACAGGCCACCCUGAAACUGAGACCCGGUCCAGAAUCCUACGGGAGGCAGAGGGAGGGAAACUUCCGAAAGGGGGGAAAGCCUGUCGAAGCAACGCCGGGGGAGUGAUGAAGGUCUUCGGAUGGUAAAACGCUGUUAUGGGGGAAAAACAAAUGUGUAAGUAACGAUGCACGUCUGAACGGAACCGAAGCAGAAGGCCCGGGCUACCUACGG
rnacentral:rRNA from 1 species